CUCUGUUGUGCAGUGCCUGCCCCAGCUCCACUCCCUCCCUCACCAUGGGGCCUCGAUCUACCCUCCUCCACACCGCUUCCCUCCUCCCACAACAGCCUUACCAGCUGGAUACUGCUCUCCAUGCUGCAUAUUGGAAUCAGGCCAGUAUCAGCCAAUAUGGCUCAUUGAAAACUGGUCAUCGGUAUCGGCCCAAAAAUUCUCUAUCGGUACACCCCUAGACAAUUCCUUCCUGGCCUCAAACAUGGCUGAUCCCUUCAAUCCAGGUUAUAUGAGCAACACUCAGCAGCCAGGGCACCUGAGGAGUAUCCAUUACAUCACUCAUCCAUUACAUAGCAAAAGACCAGAAGAACUGUGCAGUGUCACAGCCCAUUAUAGCCACAUGAAAAACAAGCGUAAAAGGAUUUUUGCGCGUAGGAGAGAGACUUAAUUCAGCCUAAUGCUUCUUACCUUCUCCUUUCUCAGCAAGCAGUGACCUUACCUUGUUUAACCACAUCUUGGUAAACAAUUGGUCUUUUCUCAAAUGGCUCUUAGUUUCUUGAGCUGCAAUGAUAAGACAGAAAUUUGCACGCUCUGCUCUCCGUAGUCCUCAUACAGUGCAACUCACAGAUGGGCCAGCACCAGGUCCACUUCAAGAGCCUGUGUUACCAUGACAGGGAUCACAUUAACAACUGGACAGUUCUCUGAAGUGAGGUUCAUAAAUCUAGCUUAGUGCAAGAACAAGGAACUGUUGCAAUUUACUGCAUUGAUCUAUAAAUUCUCAUUAAUGACUACAGUACAGAGCUUAAUUGGAAAAUUCUACUUAAUCAAAAGGCUUCCCACGGAACCAGUUUGCACCUAAUGGCAUUUGAUGGCAAGGACAGCUGCUUAAUUGGGAUGGUAAUUUCGUUUAAUUGGGACACCUUCAGGUGACCUAGUGAUACUUAGGUCUAUGCUCACAUCAUUCUCGUGCUGGUUUUGCCUGUUUGCUUCUCUAACAGUAGCAUAUCCUUGCCUCUUAGGGUGCUGUUACAGAUUACCUUUAAAACAUUUUAAAUCUAUGGAACAUUAUGCCUUCAUAAAGUUAGAACAGCUUCAGAGCAGUUGCAGGUUAAUGCUUAAUGCUGUCUCUGACCUGCACAACUGUGACUAGAUGGCCUGGUGAGCAGGAGCAUGGACAAAAGCCAGGACUAUAUUCCUCUGUGCAGGGAGAAGGGCAUGUAGCUCAUAGGUGAAGGAACCACCAUGGGGGCUGUGACUUCCACUGCACAGCCAUCAGCACCCACCUGGAGCCAUGGGGUAAGGGAAGAGAAAGUCGUGGAAAAAAAACAAAACUGUUUGAAGUGAGCGGGCAGAGGGAAGAAGUAAAGAAAAAGAUGUGAAAAAAGACUUAAAAAAAAAAAAAAGACUAAAAUCUUGCAUGUAUUUUACUGACUUGGGAUUGGGUUGGGAGGAGGGGUUGGGUUAGUACUCACACCAGGACAGAGAUGAGACCCAGCUGAGAAUGGUUUCCAUUCUCUUCACAGAAGUAGGUGGUAGGAGCACUGUAUGCAUACAGGUGCUAGAGCAAGCAGUAAAUUGGUGAGCUGUACUUGGAUGCUUAGAGUGGUUGGGGUGUGCUGGGGUCACACCCCCUGGGGUAGAGGGGUUGUUGGCUUGGGGUCAUCACCAGUCCCUAGGCAAUAGAGUUCAGGAGGGUUGAAAAUUUGCCUAUGGAGCAAAAGAGUGGGAAGGGCUGGGAAUGGUGCAUCCUGGGAUGCUGGAGGAAUGGAAAUAGAACAUUUUAUUUCCCUAGAGCAGACUAACAAUACCCUGGAAUGACCUGGAUAAAAGGGAUCAAAGAUAACCCUCACCUGAAGUGGCAUACUUUUAGAACAUCUACAGGGUACUUAGUGUGGGUUAACACCUGUUAACUUGUUUUAAUUGCCUUUAUGAUUGCCUUAAAUUGCUUCUUGUGUAUGGCCCACAUGUAGUGGGUUUCCUCUCUGAGCAGCCCGUCAUCAGCUAUGGAGAAUGAGUGGCCUCAUUCCUUCAUCUCGGUGUCAGUAAUGCAGUAUCUUAAGCCUCCCAGAAGCCUUAAGAGACUAGUCUUUACUGGGAUAAGCUCAUUACUGCUUUUCUGACAGUGCCUCUCCCUACUAUGUUGUUAACUCAAAAUACUUGGGGCUUCUCAUGAAGUGCCAGCUUUUAGAGCCAGGUAACCACAGGAAACCUGUGUUUAUAUAAUGUUUAACUUUUAUAAAUAUUGAGAAAAACUUAAAACAUGAACCCACAAAACCUCUCCAAAAAUCCAUUUUUUAAAACUGGCCUUUGAAGGCCUGGAAUUGGUAAAACUGGGCACAUCUACACGAUAUGUUUUCUGCGGAGUUGACUAUUUAGCUCUGCCAUAGUCUCAGCAUCUACACGUGCAGCCCUAUUAGGGCACAGGAAACUAGUCAACUCUGCCUAGAUUAAUGCUUGUAAACACAAGUACUAUCCUAUGGCAGCAUUCUUUAGUGCACAGCAGUGCAUGUGUAGAUGCUGAUGGGGCUGGCUAGGGCACAAGGGUGCUUCAGUGUGGGGGCUGCCUGCCAGCUAGCCCUGCACUGGAGCACCCUCGUGCCGCAGCCAGCCCGUUUACAACACAUUGAGCCGAGUUGGAGCAGCCGUGUUGGCAGCCUCACUCCUUGAGUCUUCUGCCAGCUGGGGCUAAUCCAACCCAGCUCAACUUGCUGCUGACCUGGGUGCAUGUUUAAAUGCAGUACCCGGGAGCAAUAAAUACCAGUGUGAUAUGCACUGGAGUUUAUUGCGUUCCAUUAAUUGCACAUGUGGACACAGCCACAGCUAGUGGCUUUACUUUUAAGUCAGUUAAUUGGGGUGAUUUCCAUAACUAGGACAAAAGCAUAUAUCCCAAUUAAAACAGUUCUGCUAUAUCAUGUAAAAUAACUGUUGCAAAUCAUUUAAUGCAGCAGUGCUAAUACUUUUAGCCCCCUAAAAUCGGCGUGGGGCAAGCCUGCGGGCUGGAUUGGUACCUGUGUGCCAGGAUUGGGCUCUGCACAGCCUUGGUGCACCAGAAUAGGGUCCUGGGGCACUGCCCUGCCAACGCACUCCAGGCUGCCUUCGAUUGGCUCCCUAUGGUGGGAUGACGCUCUUGGGCCCCACCCCACUAUACCAGGAUUGGGCCCCAGAGCCCUGUGUGCUGUGCAGGUCCACACUGUCUAGUUUGCAAGGCUCCCCAUAAAGCCAGAAAUUGCAGCAGGGUAGCUGCUCUGUGCCCGCAGGGUGGCACAGCUGUUGUUUCACCACAGCUUGUGUUCAAUGAGUGUGACAACAUGUCAGGCCAGGAAAGCAACAGUGGCUUAAAGAAGAGAGAGGCAGAACUGUACCAUUUCUUGGGCAGCACACACCGCUACUGGUUCUGGCAGAAAACAGCUCGAGUCUUCAACACGUGCUGAAGAGUGCAUAGACUAUAUGCCUUUGUAAAUAAUGCUGAACAAAUUUAUCUUUGCUUACAUUUGCAUUUAAAACAUGUUCAGCUACAGCCACCACCAUCAAUAUGCGAUUAUUAGUGUAGACAGGAACCGAAGGAGAGAGGACGACACAUGCUCUUCACCACAUAAUACAUUUGCUUAGGGGUUAAAAUUUGGCCUUAAAACCUUCUCUUCCCAUACUAAUGCUUUAUAGGGACCAAUAGCAAGUAGGAAUCAAUUCCUUUUAAAAAAAUGUUUAAGAGGGCUCUAUCUACUUCACCUUUUUAUCUAGGCAGGCAUUUAGCAAACAAAACUUGGCCGAGAUACUUAGUAGAUCUUUAGUUUGUUUUGAUAUUUUAGUUUUAAGCUCUGUUCUCUUACUGUAUGCUGCCUCAAGCCUUUGUUGGGAAGGGCAGAUAUAAAUCACAUAAUAAAUAAUUAAUUACUUGUAAUAUUAUACUAGGAAAGGUGGGGUACAACCUAUUGGUAUAUAAUCAUCUGUAGAUACUGCAUAGCUUUUAUGAUUGUCUGUCAUAUUGUCUCUCUAUAUUCAACGGUGGCUUUCACCAAAAAAUUAUAUGUCCCCCUCAAAUAUUAGUUUCUAAGUAAAAAACAACAAGCAAACAAAAAACUCUGAAAAACUGCAGUGCAGAAAACAAUGAAAAUUUGAAAGCUGCUGGGGCUUUUUUUCAUGCAUCUAUUUUUCUCUUUAUAUCUAUUUCUUGCUCUCUCAUUCUCUCUCUAUUUUUCAUAUUAUAUAUAUCCCUCUCUCUCUAUAUAGGAAAAAAAAUAUAUAUAUAUGUGUGUGUGUGUGUGUGUGUGUGUGUGUGUGUGUGUGUGUGUGUAUAUACAUAUAUAUAUAUAAAACCCCAGCAGCUUUCAUGUGUUUUCAUUGUUCUCCGCACUGCAGUUUUCCAGUUGUAUUUUUUUAACUUACAAGCUAAUAUUUAGGAAUGUAUUUCCACAUAUUGUGGCUUCCAACAUUGGCGGCUCGUGAUCACUAAAAUAUGGACAUGUAUGGUAUGGACAUACAUUUUAGCUGCUUAAAAAGAGGAGGGAGAUCUGUUGCUUGAGAGCAGCAGAAGCUGUUGUGAUGUGUUACAUACACAUGAUCCCAUACCAACACAAAGUGAGCUAAAUCACAUUAGCUUUCACCUUGAAGGAGGUUAGAGUUGGAGUGGUUCUGGCACACUUGUAGGCCUACAGAAUCAUGUAUGCAUUACUUGCAUCGUAGCAGCCUGUAUUGGGGUCUUUUAAUAUUGAUACCAUUUUUUUUUAUCUGUCUUUGCCCUUUUAUUUGAAUAUUAGAGGAAUAAGACUGGCUUAUCCUAGCAUAUUUUACAAGGGUCUACUUGCUUACAGAAAUGAUGCACAUUUUUCAGUAUUUCUCCCAGAUUGCCUUCUCAUUUUUGUUAACAUGCAAGUCUGGGAAGAGAUCAAAUGGUUAGUGUUUCAUUCAAGGAGAUACUAACCCUCUUAACCUUUGUCCCAAGUGUGAUGCGGAGACGCUGCAGGAAAACAACAGAACUUUACAACACGAGGGACACUUUGAUUAGCUGGAGGAGUGAUUUAGAAUAUGAAAUGAAUACAGAGAGAGAGAGAGAACAUGUGUAGUCAAGAUGGUCACCCUUUGCUGCAGGAGGAGGGACAAAGUUUAAUCUGUCCAUCCAGGAAAGACUCCUAGACCCCUUUUCAGUAAUAAGAUCUAUGGUUCCUCAACUAUUUCUUUUCAAACAAGGAAGUUCCCCCUUUGGCACAAGCAAAGGCUUGUUUUGUACAUGCAAUGAUAAUGAUGAAAGUUGGUCCAUGAAAAGGAGGGGGGCCUUGUGAAAAUAUCUAGCCUCAUCUAUUUUAAUGAGAUGCUAGGGCUCACAAAUCGAAGCACUAAUAUUCUGCUAUGUUUCUUUGCUAGUGGCUGUUUUUUAUCUGUGCAAAAUUUGCAUGAAGAUGUGUCAAAGGGAGUCGCUUACCAACAAUCUAAAAGUGGAGAAUGAAAUAAGAACAGUGAUCAAGCACCUCCAUCAGAAAGGACUGAUUCUCAAAGGAAAUCUAUUGGGACAAGGUAGCAAAUGCUGGCAAAGACUGGCUAUUUAUAUGACAAAGUAAAAAUAUUGGGCAGCUGACUGAGAAUCAACCCUGAGGAGAAGCUACAGUCAGGAUGCCUCAGAGAAGCCAGUGCACAAAAACAAGUUGGUGCAGUCUACAAUCAAGACCAGAGCAUGAGAAAGGUGUCAGUAAGAUGGGCGAGCAGAACGUCAACAGCUGAUCAGAGGACACUGGAGACUUGACAGGAAACUUAAACAAACAACCCCCCCGCUCCCGUGAGUAGACUUGCUAAUCAGGUUGAGAGAAUGGGUUUUGCACUUUGAUCCAGAGACCAAGCAAUAGCGCAUGCAAUGGAAGCACAAGAGUCUCUACCUGCAGAGAUGUUCAAGAAUGUGGCAUCAGAUGGGAAAGUGGUGGCUGAAUUUUUGGGACAGUGGAGAGUAUGACUAUGACUGAAUACCUCUCAAGAGAUAAGACCACUGUUGGUCUGUACCAUGCUAGUAAACUUCUGCACUUGCAAAGAAGCUAUAGAGAAGAAGUGCUCUUUAAAGGCAAGCUGAGGAAUGGUGCUUCUCUAGGAAAAUGCAUUACCUUGCACAUCCAAAGAUGAAGCAACUAGAGCAACCAAAUAUGGUUCUGAAUUGCUUUUCCAUCCACCAGAUUUGGCUCUGUCUGGCUCCUAUAUCACUUUCCCCAAGUUGAAAGAAAUCUUCUGUAGAAAGAGUUUCUGGAGAAAGGUGAUUGCAAUAAUUAAGGACUUUCUGAAUACGCAAGACAAUAACUUCUACAAGAUGAGCACAGCCAAUUUGCAGCUGUCUUGAGCCAGUUAGGACAAGAGACAUCCAUCAAGCCUCUUGAUGACAAGAUGAUCUAUAUUGAAAAAUAAACAGUUGAGCACAGAUAAUGUUUGCUUCUUGGUCAUACUAGAAACAUAUGAAUACCCUCAUAAAAGUUCUUGCUUUUUAGUCUCUGCCCAUUAAUUCAUGUUUUAAUAGAUUAAUCCAUGCCUGCGAUCUUCAAACUCGACUAAUAGAUCCUGACAAUAUCAUGCAUGUCACCCUUUUGAGAACUCAUACAUUCAGCAGAAUUAUCCAGCAGGCUGUCAGCAAGUAUAACAGUGUAGGUAGUGAUACUGCAAAAAUGAGGACUAUGCUGCAUCAAUAGUGAGGAAGUUGAGAGAAACAGAGAACAUUAGUUCUACAAGUGAAUUGCUACUACUUGCCUAUGCUAACUAAUUUGCAUAUGUAAUUUGAGACACAGGUUUCCUCUUAGCUCUGAUCAUGUUUUAUUAAAGUAAAUACCCUGCAGAUUUGAUAUACAGGCAAAAUUCCUUUUUAAAAAGGUUUAAGCUUGACUUUAUACACGUAUGAUAAUUCUUAGUUUUGUUUUUUUUAAACCUGCUACAUAAGAAAAUAUCUUCCAACUUCCAUACAAAAUAGUACUUUUUUCUCUGCUGGUAGAAGACAUUGAUAAAAUUUUUAACUGUCAAGUGGUCUGUGUAACUGUUACAAAAGUUGUAUACAAAAACGUUCAAUGCAAAAAUUCCAAAGUACACUCUGACAGCUAAUGCUCUGCGAACACUUUAUUACACAAAUUACAUUCAGCUUCUGAAAAUAGUGUUCUAACAGUGAUACCAUCUAAAAAUAAGACAUCCCCAAAACACAUCAAAUCAGGAGGAAGGAAAAAAAAUUAAAUAGACUUUUUUCUUUCCUUCAAUGCAAUAUUAAUGUUAGUGAUUUUAAAAAAAUAGAAGAAGAUUUAGCAGCUUUGUUUUCUUGUGGCACUGUAUUUUCUCUGUACUGCAAUAGGUUAAGGACAUUGAAGAGGAAAGGCACAAAAGAAAGAAAUUGGCAACUGAAGUGUUAUGGAAAAAAUAUUGUCAAAGUAAAUAAAUGGGACUUAUUUACAAGUACAGAAAAGGUCCCAAAACUGAAAUGAGAAAAUACUACUACUUUAAAUCAGUACUGCAAUAAAAAGAGGAUUGGUUUCUUUAUUAAGAUGUUCACGUAAAGACAACGGCACUGAUAUGAAACUUCCAGACACUCCUCCACUUAAAAGAACAAAACUAAAACUGAACUAAAACCAAAAA